CAAAGGCUUGGUCCUGACUUUACUAUCAGCUCUAGCUGGAUUUACACAUGCAAGUAUCUGCACCCCUGUGAGAAUGCCCACCCCCGUUUUCCACCACGAAAAUAAGGAGCUGGUAUCAGGCACACUUUUGUAGCCCACGACACCUUGCUUUGCCACACCCCCAAGGGAACUCAGCAGUGACAAACAUUAAGCUAUGAGCGAAAGCUUGACUUAGUUAAAGCUAAGAGGGCCGGUAAAACUCGUGCCAGCCACCGCGGUUAUACGAGGGGCCCAAGUUGAUAGAUAACGGCGUAAAGGGUGGUUAGGGAACAUCAUAUAGUAAAGCCGAACGUCUUCAAUGUUGUUAUAAGCUCUCGAAGAUUGGAAGCCCCACCACGAAAGUGGCUUUACCGCUCCUGAACCCACGAAAGCCAGGGAACAAACUGGGAUUAGAUACCCCACUAUG
rnacentral:rRNA from 1 species